GCCUGGGUGGCUCAGCCGGUUAAGCGUCUGACUUCGGCUCAGGUCAUGAUCUCACAGUUCGUGGGUUCGAGCCCCGCGUCGGGCU
rnacentral:tRNA from 1 species